rnacentral:rRNA from 1 species
AUUGAACGCUGGCGGCAGGCCUAACACAUGCAAGUCGAACGAGAGGCGGACGGGUGAGUAAUGUAUGGGGAUCUGCCUGAUAGAGGGGGAUAACUACUGGAAACGGUAGCUAAUACCGCAUACCAUCGGAUGUACCCAUAUGGGAUUAGCUAGUAGGUGGGGUAAAGGCUCAUCUAGGCGACGAUCCCUAGCUGGUCGGAGAGGAUGAUCAGCCACACUGGGACGGAGACACGGCCCAGACUCCUACGGGAGGCAGCAGUGGGGAAUAUUGCACAAUGGGCGCAAGCCUGAUGCAGCCAUGCCGCGUGUAUGAAGAAGGCCUUAGGUUUGUAAAGUACUUUCAGCGGGGAGGCGUUACCCGCAGAAGAAGCACCGGCUAACUCCGUGCCAGCAGCCGCGGUAAUUC